rnacentral:rRNA from 1 species
UCGGGAAUUUUGCUCAAUGGGGGAAACCCUGAAGCAGCAACGCCGCGUGCGGGAUGAAGGCCUUCGGGUUGUAAACCGCUUUUACCAGGGACGAUGAUGACGGUACCUGAUGAAUAAGUCACGGCUAACUACGUGCCAGCAGCCGCGGUAAUACGUAGGUGACCAGCGUUGUCCGGAUUUACUGGGCGUAAAGAGCGCGCAGGCGGUCGUUCAAGUCGAGUGUGAAAGCCCCCGGCUCAACUGGGGAGGGUCAUUCGAUACUGAUCGACUGGAAGGCAGGAGAGGGAAGCGGAAUUCCCGGUGUAGUGGUGAAAUGCGUAGAUAUCGGGAGGAACACCAGUGGCGAAGGCGGCUUCCUGGCCUGUUCUUGACGCUGAGGCGCGAAAGCUAGGGGAGCAAACGGG